UCUGCCUGUUGGCUUGUGAUGGGCGGAGUCUGCGGUGAUGAUGAUGCAUUCCGUACUCUGCAGUCCACGGUAUCACAGUGGCCACCGAGCAUCCCCGUGAUGGAAAGGAGCAGACCGUGGAAGCAGUGAUGUCCCUUCUCUCUUGGUAACAGGCUGCCCGGCGUCUGCCAGCCUGCCACUGUCCACAAGCUAAGAGGGUUCCCCACCGUAAGAAGUGGGCUUAGGCGACUGCCAACUGUGGUUGAGGUGGAUCUGGGCAACUGAAGCCUGGGUGUUCGCAAUCUCAUCUUUGGAGCUUUCGGCAGUGACAUGGGAAGAUGGCGAGGCUACAAAAACGUGGAGGCUUAUGAAUGCUCAGCUCUGUUUGGCCUUUUCCGUAGCCAAGGCAGGCCCUUUGUAUUCUCCCCGUCCAUCAAAUUCUGGCCAUUUCCUCAGCACUUUGAUCUGGAGACCAAAGGCCGGGGAUGCAUAGAUAAUGGGUGUGUGAACGUGAGACCUAUGGAGUCUAUACACAGAGCUGCCAUGUCCUGGAGGCAUUCAGAGUCCCCGCCACAGAGGGAGCCCCUCUGCGGCCAGAGUGGAGCCGAUACAGAGGAGACAGAUGAGUCUGUUUCCCAUCCUCAGGCUGUGUUUGUCCCAGGAGGACAGGGCAGAUGUGAGAGCGGAGGAAGAUGGAAGUCCUCAAGAGAGCUGACCUGGCCUUGAAAGCAAAAAACCUGAAUAUUAAGAAUAAAGAGGAGGUGAUGGACGGGAAAAUAAAACCGGAGAAUGAAGGAUUUAUGGAGAACUUGAGUCAUCAAUUUUCUUAAUGUAGAUACCACAGAGUGAUGCUGGGUGAAUA